GUUUUUGGCUCCGUGGGCUCCACAGCUUCCCAGCCCGGCUCCCAAGGCCUGCAAACCACCCUCGACACCUGCACCAGACCACACGCUCCACGCUCCGUGCUUCUGAGCUUCCGAAAUGUUUCUAAAACCAAACAAAGCCAGACACUGGCACUGGCUCUGCCCCCUUGAUGCCAUCCUGAUGUGUCAAUUCACUCCUUCCACAGGUGCCACGGUUUCAGUCACAGGGCCGCCUACCCUCCUCUGCCACGUCCCCCCCUCCACUCCAGAUUCCCAUCACACUGUCAGCCUCCACAUCCUGUCCCAGGGACCCUCCUCCGCAGACAUGAAACCCUCUUCACGGGGAGAGAUUGUGCAACCCCAAGGAGCAGAGGGAACUGGAGGAAUAUCUAGUCUUCAAGCUGCAGUAUUACUCAUCCCGUUGGACGUGACUGGGACUCCCCAGACUCUUCUAGAACUCUGCAGAAGGCUCCAUACAAACCAGAGCGGUGUUGAUUAUCACCCUAUGCUUAUCGUUUGGGUCGUGUCCAGGUUCUUGUCACUUUGCAGCUAAUUACAGGGCAAUGAAAUGGUGCUGGCUGUACUUUGAAUUUGCAAGCUCAGAGCAAAAGUCCUGAUUCCUCUUGUGUCCCUGGCCUGCAACAGGACAUGUUGCCAGCAAGUGGAAGAAGCUGCAGGGCCUGGCUUUUUAGCCCAAACAGCCAACGCUCUCAAAGGCAGGGACACGUGGUGACCCGUCCCCUAAGAGGGAACCCAAGCGUCAUCCGACCUCACAAAGGAGAAUUCCUUCCUCUGGGAUGCUGGGCAGCAGGGGACUGUCAUGCCCUAAGCUGACCCUAGGCUUUGGAAGCGACUCAGGCUCAGCCACCAGCCCUAACCCACAGGGUCCCCUCCCCUUUCCAGGAUUGACUACUUUUCCCCCAUCUCUUCUGAAGACCUUGGCUGCAGCCCUGGUCCACCUGGCCCUCCUAUGAACCCCACUCCGUACCCUUGAGAUUUAAUCAUGUCUGAUCGUGGGACACAUUCUGAAUGAUUUCCCUGGACUGCCAUUUUACUCCCAGAACUUUAAACUCUGCGUGUGCCUCUCACAACCAAUCAGCUCUAUUUGUGGGAGGGCCAUGCAUGAGACAGCACUGGUACAGCUUAAGAUCUCAGAAAAUGAACGCAGAUGAACAAAUAUGCUUUAGUUAUUCUUAAUAUACUUACUUGUGAAAACGACAUAGCAUAAACUUUUACAAAUAAGACAGAUAGUUUUAAACCUAGUAUAUUUUACAAGGCGGUUUCCCAGGUGGUGCAGUGGUAAAGAAUCCACCUGCCAAUGCAGGAGACUCAAGAGAUGUGGGUUUGAUCUCUGGGUCGGGAAGAUACCCUGGACUAGGAAAUGGCAACCCAUUCCAGUAUUCUUGCCUGGAAAAUUCCACGGACAGAGCAGCCUGGUGGGCUACAGUCCAUGGGUCACAAAGUUGGACAUGAUUGAGUACACACACACACACACACACACACACACACACACAGUGUGUGCGUGCAUACACGUUUUAUUGGAGAAGGAAAUGGCAACCCACUCCAGUAUUCUUGCCUGGAGAAUCUCAUGGACAG
ensembl:lncRNA